rnacentral:RNase_P_RNA from 1 species
AAAACCUCCGGAGUGAUCGCGUCGCUAUUUUUUUAUAGCGAUGAGGAAAGUCCGAGCAACAUAAGGCGGGAAAGUCGUUAACGGCGACCGGACUGCGACAAUCAAAAACGCAAUCUAGGGAAAGUGCCACAGAGACGAUCAAAAUGAAACGCCCCCUCUUCCUUCCGUGGGAACGGGGCACGGCGAAGCGUAGCGGAGCCGGCCGAGCGUCAUAAAAGCGCGAGGCUAAGGCGCGAGCGAAAGCGAGCGCAACCUCCACUACCAGAUAACGCCGUGAGGUAAACCCUUUCCGUUGCAAGGUGAGAAUGGGUAUCCGGAACAAGGCGGCCUUAAGCCCCGGAUAGCUCACCGCUCGAGCUCAUUGGCAACAACGAGCCCAGAUAGAUGAUCACACUUGCUCGCGAAAGCGAAGCAAGACAGAACUCGGCUUAUGAAGGGGGUUUUUGCC